rnacentral:rRNA from 1 species
CCCUAUGGGUGCGCAGGCGGGACAUUGUGAAAGCCCGGAUUACAGCGAUCGUCAUUUUAGAGCUGGCGCAGAUACUCGUUACCGCGGCUUUCGCAGGAAUCCACCUUGCGAUAUACGCCAACGAUACGAUGUUUAUGGAUACGAACGCCGUGUACAUUGGCUGCGUUUUCAUCAUGUUCGCGGUAUUCAACAUCGUGUUCUUCCCAAUGUUCUACAAGACCGCCUACAAGAUCGGCGUUCCGGUGAUCGCCGCCAUCGCCGCGGCGCUGGUGUUUGCGGUCGCAGCCGAGGCGCUCGUGCUGGUUGUGCCCGCCUUUCAGCCGCUGGGCGGCCGGGACCAUAUCGGUGCGCAGCUGGCCGUGAUGGCGGGGGAGC